rnacentral:rRNA from 1 species
UACGGGGGGGGCAAGCGUUGUUCGGAAUUCCUGGGCGUACAGGGCUCGUAGGCGGCCAACUAAGUCCGACGUGAAAUCCCCAGGCUUAACCUGGGAACUGCGUCGGAUACUGGAUGGCUUGAAUCCGGGAGAGGGAUGCGGAAUUCCAGGUGUAGCGGUGAAAUGCGUAGAUAUCUGGAGGAACACCGGUGGCGAAGGCGGCAUCCUGGACCGGUAUUGACGCUGAUGAGCGAAAGCCAGGGGAGCAAACGGG